rnacentral:rRNA from 1 species
UACGAAGGGGGCUAGCGUUGUUCGGAAUUACUGGGCGUAAAGCGUGCGCAGGCGGCUUCUCAAGUCAGGGGUGAAAGCCCAGAGCUCAACUCUGGAAUUGCCUUUGAGACUGAGUGGCUUGAGUACGAGAGAGGUGAGUGGAAUUCCCAGUGUAGAGGUGAAAUUCGUAGAUAUUCGCAAGAACACCAGUGGCGAAGGCGGCUCACUGGCCCGAUACUGACGCUGAGGUGCGAAAGCGUGGGGAGCAAACAGGG